GUGGAUUAGAUACCCUGGUAGUCCACACCGUAAACGUUGGGCGCUAGGUGUGGGACCUAUUCCAUGGGUUCCGUGCCGUAGCUAACGCAUUAAGCGCCCCGCCUGGGGAGUACGGCCGCAAGGCUAAAACUCAAAGGAAUUGACGGGGGCCCGCACAAGCGGCGGAGCAUGCGGAUUAAUUCGAUGCAACGCGAAGAACCUUACCUGGGUUUGACAUACACCGGAAGCCCCUAGAGAUAGGGGUCUCUUUGAUACUGGUGUACAGGUGGUGCACGGUCGUCGCCAGCU
rnacentral:rRNA from 1 species